AGUCGGAGGCAAAAGCCGGACUGGAGCCUUUUCCUGGCAAUCCAGGCCCCUUCCCCUCUCGCCACCGGCUUCUCCCCGCGUCUCCGCCCUUUUGCUGAGUCUAGCGACCGCCGCAGCCGUCUCCACCCACAAGGGAACCGGAGAAGGAGUCCGAGAGGACUGGGGCUUGGGGAGAAACUCCGGCCCCCCUUCCUCCGUGUGUAACUUAGUUGAACCCUCUCCCAUUCGUCCCGGGACGGUUCAGUUCUUAGAGAAUCUGGAUCCUAGCGGAGGGUGGGUGUUGGAGGGCCCACAAAUGUGUUCUCCCGAGAACCUGCUUCCCUGGUCUCGGGACCUGCCGGUUCACCUACCACGCGGCUCCCGGGCCGCAGUCUAAAGCCGCGGCCUUCUUCGUGUGGUUUCCCGUUUUCUGAAUAUCUCCAGAGACAACUCUGAGCCAGGCCGGGGGCCGCCGGGGAGCAACACCCCGCCGCCGUCUUGCCUUGCGCCUCAGUUCGCGGGGCUCGGACGCCGUCCCUUUGCCCAGUCACGGCAGCAGUCUCUGGGCGUGGGGUGGGGGUGUCUCGGGGACACCGUGCCUUACAUUGGAGAACUGGAGCUGGCGACGCAGCCCGAGUCGGUCGCGGAGAAGUCACGCCGGUCGUUUUGGGAACGCAGCGGCCGCCAGGCCUCCCCCGACCCUCGCCUUCCACACGCGACGGUAGAGCAGCGAGCGUCUCUGCUCCUGUCAGUUUCCAUUUCGUGGGCUAUUCCCGGGGGGUGAGAGGGAGGUUGGUAAUGAGAACCAACACUCUCCUAACUUUUCCGCCAGGGGCUUCGCAGGCAGCAGGAAACGCGGCGCCGCGGCCUAGGAGGGCGUUGGGAGGCUGGGUCGGGCCCCCGCGAGCGCUCCGCGGGGAGGGAACCGCAGCGAGUCCCGCGCCCUCGCCGCUGCCGGGGUCAGUCCGAGGAGGUCUGCGGGAUGGGCCUCCCGCGCCCGAAGGCUAAGUGUCGCCGCACCGCGCGGCUCUGCGGGGGCUCCAGGCCGGGUCUUGGGAGUGGCUCUCCUGAGCGCCCGGAGCCGGGUCCUGGAGAGCGCUCCGGGCGCCCCGGCCGCCACAAAGCCGGUUAAAGUCUAUUUUCCACUCGACUGCGUUGAAAAGCCCCCGCAAGCCACCGCCGUUCCGGCCCCCUAGCGCGAGGGGUGGGGGUGCUGAGACGGCGAGGGGGGGAGGUGAGGCCACCGCACCCUGCCUCCCUUCGAGUCCUGGGCGGCCCAGGGGCGCGCACCGCAGAGCCACCCCGGAAACGACUAUGGAAGGAAGAGUUACUGAAUCCGCGGCCGAGCCCGCGUUUCUGUCGCUGACCUCUCCGGCUCUCUCGGGCUCUCUGUACUGCUCUCCCCCUCCCUCCCCGUUUCUGUCUCAGGCUGUCUCUAUCUCUUCCAUCCCCUGCGUCCCUGUACCCCCUCCCCGACUUUUCCUCCCAGUAUUUCUUCCCCACUCCUCCUUUGCCCCAUCCGCAAUCCUGGGAAAAGGGAAGUGCCGCCGAGUGGGGACAAGGACCUGACCAGGCCAUAUCCGUAAGGGAAGGCGGCGGAGCUGGGCAGAGGUACAGAAUGAGGAGACAAGACGGAAAAUGGCAAGAGAUGACCAGGGAUUUUGUCGCAGCAAGGUUCCAGCGGGACAGUGUUUAUCCUGGGCCUGUGCUCUGCGGCGACAGGGCACGUGCUGGGAGCUGCGACGGACAAGACGAGAGAGCCCGAGCAAGUUGCAUCCGGCCUCAAGGCCGCGCACGUCUAGCCGCGAUGAGCCCACCUCCCACCCCCACCGUGAGGCUGCGCAGUGACCGCGAACUACGCUAAGCUGGGCGCGCAGAGGAGCUUGGAAUCUACCCCACCUUUCCUACGCUUGCGUCUGCACCGCCCACGUCUACUUUCAUUCGUAUGACUUCGGGUAUACCUGUUCGUAUCUAAAUCCAUAGACCUUUCUAACACUGUCCUUUGACUUGAUGCUUUUAAAGUAUGUUGACAUCCAGUUGUCUGUCCUUAAGCCCAUUUUACAGAUGAGGAAAAGAAUCACAGAGGAGCUGUGCUGUUCAAGAUGGAAGUCAUGAGCCAUGUGGGGCUAAUUGGGUGCUUGAAAGGUGGCUGGUCUAAACUGAGAUGUUCUGCAGCCUGCACUGCGGCAAUGCCACCACCUCAUCCAGGGACUCCUAUGUGUGCCCGAUGCAUUUCUCCUCCAAGUCGUGCUCAAAAACAUUACUCCAGAGCAUGUGUCAGCCCAACUUCUGAGAGGACAAAAAUUGUCAAGGGUGCAUGAAGCCAAUUAUAUAGAAUGUCAGCUUUGCAAGAACUUUGUCUAUUUUGUUCACUGCUGUGCUCCCAACACCCAGCAUAGUCUCCUGGCAUAUAGUAAAUGCUCAUUAAAGAUUGGUUUACUGAAUAUAUGAAUUUUGAGAAACAUAAGUCACGGUUAUGUUUAUCCUGAGGCAGUGUAACAAUGCAAAUUUUCAUCAAAAUAGAACAUAAAGACAUGGCCCAUACCCUGUGAUGUUUGCCCUGGAAGGAGAGGUAGAAUUCCUGUCUGACUUUCAGGAUGAGCUUCCCAUCCUAGGCCUCAUCUUGGAAGAACACUCCUCCUGCAGAGUCUCUGAUGGGAAAGAAAACCCAGAUACUUUGAAAUUGGACCCUGACCAAGAAUUGGCUGAACUCUUGGGUGGAGUUUCCAUGUCUCUAUUUUGCAAGAUGCAUGAACUUGGAGCAAAUAUCCCUUUCUUCUCAGAAGACUACUUCAGUGGAUGCCUUGUUUUGGCAAAUAUAAACCAAAGACUGACUUCUUCAGUGAAGCACUUAGAGAUCCCAUGGCUCAAGUGUUCUACACAACAAUAUAAAUGUCUUUUCUUUAAUAGGAUGUUAUCUUUAUAUAUUAAUUUUACUUGAGGGAAAUGUUUAUUUUCAACAUGUGGGUCCCUGAAAAUCAGGGCUUUUUCUUGAGAGCACAUAUGUGUUCUUAGUCAAAGAGUUUUCCAUAAGGCUGGAAAAUGAAGGGUGAGGAGGUCUAUAUCUCUGCCUCCCACUGGUAGAGAGGUCUGAACCAGAAGUAUCAAAACCCACCCUGAGAUAUUCUGCUGAAUACCCACUCAGAGUUUUAGUCCAGAAGGAAUUCCCAGACUUUGGGAUAUGUACUCAUGUCAGAUGAUUAUGUGGUGGUAGAUUGGCCCAGCAGGGGCCCAAGCCCCCCUGGACAUUCUGACUGUGCUUCCUGUGCCGCAGAAGAAGGGGCUGAAAUGUAGGACUUAGGGAGCCAGUGAGAUUUAAACUGGAGCUGGGAGGCAAUUUCUUCUCCCUAAAACUAGAGGGGCUGGACCUAUAAAAGGGAGAAAGCUAGAUUCUGCAACCACAUGCAUGGGGCUAUCAACCAGCAGACAACUGGGGCAUGCAAUGAAAAACUUAGCCUUUUGGUAUAGCUCAAUGUCCAGACAGCUUCAGCAGGCCCACCCCACCUGACUUGGUGUUUUAUUCAUCUACUCACCUGCCCACCUGCCCAACUGCCCACUGAUACAAAUUUGUUCAUUCAAUAAAUUUAAACAUACAGCCAUUCUUCUACUAGAUAUAUAACCCAGAGAAAUGAGUGCAUAUGUUGACGGAAAGACUUUAUUCAAAAUGCCAAAAGCUUGAAAUAAU